CUUGUUGCAACAGGUCUAACAGUGACACCUAUUGCUGCUAAAAUAAUGUCAGGUACUACUUUUACUGUAGGAGUUAUUGUUAUUUUUACUGAUAUUUGGUUUUGAACUAAAAUGUCAACUUUUUUUAUAACCAGAAAAAUACUAAAAUUUGAGAAGUGUGACACAAAAAAACCAAAAUUAGAGUCUCCACUGUUCCUCUAAGCAAAAGGUAAAAUAAAAACAUUUUCCUGACACAUAUGAAGCUUUUUCUUUUGUGUCUCAAUCUCCAGAUUGAUUAUCCUCUUUUAGAAAUGGAUGAUGAUGAUGAUGAUGAUGAUGAUGAUGAUGUAGCAUGUUUUGAAACAGACAAAAUGUUUUUUUUAAAAAAAAAAAAAAAAAAAAAAAAAAAAAAAACCUUUUGAAAUGGGAUAUGUUGAAUAGAGGCAAGAACAGAACAAUGAUGGUUAAGUACUUUGGCUACAAGGACCAUCUGUGCACCAAACAUGGCUGGGUUCUGUGGAAGUAAACACAUGAAGAGGACGGUUUUAUCCUUGAGCGUCAAAAAAAUAAAAAAAUAAAAAAAAAUAACUGUCUUGGUUGGAAAUAAGUUUGCCAUUUCGAUUAUCUUGGAUUCAAGAGACAUUCGCAAAUUGAACCUGGGAUGAAGACAGACCCCGAUCCAGUAACAGCUACGACUGACGAUCAAUCACCAGUCAGACCACAAAGGCAAAUGUGAGCAUUUUAAUCCAGAGAACAAUGGCCGUCGGAGGAGACAGGCGCUUGGCAGUGGAGCGGAGCCCAGGAAUGCUGAAUAACAAUCCCAUCAUCCAUCAUGGUGCAUAGGGAGUCGGCCAGCUCCGCUCGUCGCAGGCAGAAGCUCCGAGAAGCAGCUCGGUGCGACGGGGAACGGCAGCAUGUCGCCACAUUCCCUGUAAAAACUGCAGGACGCGAGCGAAGCUCCAAACUUGGCAUCGAUCGGUAUGAAAGUCUCACGGUACAACGACUGUUUGAAACAAAUGCAUAGCCAGUCUAAUUUGUUUUGUUUACUGUAUCUUAAAUAAUACACUUAUGCCACUAAAAUAAAAGCUUAUAAAAAAAAAAA